AUACGUAGGUGGCAAGCGUUGUCCGGAAUUAUUGGGCGUAAAGCGCAUGUAGGCGGUUUGGUAAGUCGGUCGUGAAAAUGCGGUGCUUAACGCCGUAUGGCGAUUGAAACUGCUGAACUUGAGUGCAGGAGAGGAAAGGGGAACUCCCAGUGUAGCGGUGAAAUGCGUAGAUAUUGGGAAGAACACCGGUGGCGAAGGCGCCUUUCUGGACUGUGUCUGACGCUCAGAUGCGAAAGCCAGGGUAGCGAACGGGAUUAGAUCCCCCGGUAGUCCUGGCCGUAAACGGUGGGUACUAGGUGUGGGAGGUAUCGACUCCUUCCGUGCCGGAGUUAACGCAAUAAGUACCCCGCCUGGGGAGUACGGCCGCAAGGCUUAAACUCAAAGGAAUUGACGGGG
rnacentral:rRNA from 1 species